UACGUAGGGGGCUAGCGUUGUCCGGAAUCAUUGGGCGUAAAGCGCGUGUAGGCGGUUCGGUAAGUCCGCUGUGAAAGUCGGGGGCUCAACCCUCGAAUGCCGGUGGAUACUGUCGGACUAGAGUACGGAAGAGGCGAGUGGAAUUCCUGGUGUAGCGGUGAAAUGCGCAGAUAUCAGGAGGAACACCAAUUGCGAAGGCAGCUCGCUGGGACGUUACUGACGC
rnacentral:rRNA from 1 species